GUUGGGAGUUGAGGGAGGGGGACAACGCGGCGUGUGAAGAGUGGGGAAGAAAUCACGCGACUGGAUUUGGAGUUCUGCUGGGCUCGAAUCUCAGCUGUGCUUUUUAUUAACCGUGGGACCUUGAGCUACUCGGCUCUCCUUUCUGAAUGACAGUUUCCUCCUCUGUAAAACAGGAAUGGUUAAUUCAACGAAUGUUUACUGAGCGCUUAGUCCAGUGGUGCAGGUUUAAGGCUGGAGGCAGCGGAAAAGGAAAACAAGGUUCCUGGUCUCGGGAAGCUUACCAUGGGGGUGUCUGUACGCGUGUGUGUUCGUGCGCUCAGUGGUGGAAGACAGGACAGAAAAUAAACGGAUCAACAUCCAAAGCAACAAGAUGGGGAAACUGACUCGAUGAAGCUCAGGCCUGGCCGCGGUCAGGGUAGAAUCAGGACUAGAACCCAGGCUGUGUGGCUGCAGCCCUGACCCUCACCAUCCAGGUCAGGCAGAGAACACUCAGGUGGGGCAGGAGGUCUUGGCCCCCAUGGUGUGGGGCUUGG
rnacentral:lncRNA from 10 species